rnacentral:rRNA from 1 species
UUAGAGUUUGAUCCUGGCUCAGGACGAACGCUUUUGGGGCGCCUAACACCAUGCAAGUCGAACGAGCGAGAGAGAGCUUGCUUUCUCGAGCGAGUGGCGAACGGGUGAGUAACGCGUGAGGAACCUGCCUCAAAGAGGGGGACAACAGUUGGAAACGACUGCUAAUACCGCAUAAGCCCACGGGUCGGCAUCGACCAGAGGGAAAAGGAGCAAUCCGCUUUGAGAUGGCCUCGCGUCCGAUUAGCUAGUUGGUGAGGUAACGGCCCACCAAGGCGACGAUCGGUAGCCGGACUGAGAGGUUGAACGGCCACAUUGGGACUGAGACACGGCCCAGACUCCUACGGGAGGCAGCAGUGGGGAAUAUUGCACAAUGGGGGAAACCCUGAUGCAGCGACGCCGCGUGGAGGAAGAAGGUCUUCGGAUUGUAAACUCCUGUUGUUGGGGAAGAUAAUGACGGUACCCAACAAGGAAGUGACGGCUAACUACGUGCCAGCAGCCGCGGUAAAACGUAGGUCACAAGCGUUGUCCGGAAUUACUGGGUGUAAAGGGAGCGCAGGCGGGAAGACAAGUUGGAAGUGAAAUCCAUGGGCUCAACUCAUGAACUGCUUUCAAAACUGUUUUUCUUGAGUAGUGCAGAGGUAGGCGGAAUUCCCGGUGUAGCGGUGGAAUGCGUAGAUAUCGGGAGGAACACCAGUGGCGAAGGCGGCCUACUGGGCACCAACUGACGCUGAGGCUCGAAAGUGUGGGUAGCAAACAGGAUUAGAUACCCUGGUAGUCCACACCGUAAACGAUGAUUACUAGGUGUUGGGGGGAUUUGACCCCCUCAGUGCCGCAGUUAACACAAUAAGUAAUCCACCUGGGGAGUACGACCGCAAGGUUUGAAACUCAAAGGAAUUGACGGGGGCCCGCACAAGCAGUGGAGUAUGUGGUUUAAUUCGACGCAACGCGAAGAACCUUACCAAGUCUUGACAUCCCUUGACGAUGCUGGAAACAGUAUUUCUCUUCGGAGCAAGGAGACAGGUGGUGCAUGGUUGUCGUCAGCUCGUGUCGUGAGAUGUUGGGUUAAGUCCCGCAACGAGCGCAACCCUUAUGGUCAGUUACUACGCAAGAGGACUCUGGCCAGACUGCCGUUGACAAAACGGAGGAAGGUGGGGAUGACGUCAAAUCAUCAUGCCCUUUAUGACUUGGGCUACACACGUACUACAAUGGCGUUAAACAAAGAGAAGCAAGACCGCGAGGUGGAGCAAAACUCAGAAACAACGUCCCAGUUCGGACUGCAGGCUGCAACUCGCCUGCACGAAGUCGGAAUUGCUAGUAAUCGUGGAUCAGCAUGCCACGGUGAAUACGUUCCCGGGCCUUGCACUCACCGCCCGUCA